rnacentral:rRNA from 1 species
AAUCCUACGGGGCGCAGCAGUGAGGAAUAUUGGUCAAUGGCCGAGAGGCUGAAACAGCCAAGUCGCGUGAGGGAUGACGGCCCUACGGGUUGUAAACCUCUUUUGCCGGGGAGCAAAGAGCGGGACGCGUCCCGCCUCGAGAGUACCCGGAGAAAAAGCAUCGGCUAACUCCGUGCCAGCAGCCGCGGUAAUACGGAGGAUGUGAGCGUUAUCCGGAUUUAUUGGGUUUAAAGGGUGCGCAGGCGGAAGCGCAAGUCAGUGGUAAGAUUGAGAGGCUCAACGUCUUCCCGCCGUUGAAACUGAGG